UACGUAGGGUGCAAGCGUUGUCCGGAAUUAUUGGGCGUAAAGAGCUCGUAGGUGGCCUGUCGCGUCGGCUGUGAAAACUCGGGGCUCAACUCCGAGCUUGCAGUCGAUACGGGCAGGCUAGAGUUCGGCAGGGGAGACUGGAAUUCCUGGUGUAGCGGUGAAAUGCGCAGAUAUCAGGAGGAACACCGGUGGCGAAGGCGGGUCUCUGGGCCGAUACUGACGCUGAGGUGCGAAAGCGUGGGGAGCGAACAGG
rnacentral:rRNA from 1 species